UUUUAUGGAGAGUUUGAUCCUGGCUCAGGAUGAACGCUGGCGGCGUGCCUAAUACAUGCAAGUCGAGCGAACGGACGAGAAGCUUGCUUCUCUGAUGUUAGCGGCGGACGGGUGAGUAACACGUGGAUAACCUACCUAUAAGACUGGGAUAACUUCGGGAAACCGGAGCUAAUACCGGAUAAUAUUUUGAACCGCAUGGUUCAAAAGUAAAAGACGGUCUUGCUGUCACUUAUAGAUGGAUCCGCGCUGCAUUAGCUAGUUGGUAAGGUAACGGCUUACCAAGGCAACGAUGCAUAGCCGACCUGAGAGGGUGAUCGGCCACACUGGAACUGAGACACGGUCCAGACUCCUACGGGAGGCAGCAGUAGGGAAUCUUCCGCAAUGGGCGAAAGCCUGACGGAGCAACGCCGCGUGAGUGAUGAAGGUCUUCGGAUCGUAAAACUCUGUUAUUAGGGAAGAACAUAUGUGUAAGUAACUGUGCACAUCUUGACGGUACCUAAUCAGAAAGCCACGGCUAACUACGUGCCAGCAGCCGCGGUAAUACGUAGGUGGCAAGCGUUAUCCGGAAUUAUUGGGCGUAAAGCGCGCGUAGGCGGUUUUUUAAGUCUGAUGUGAAAGCCCACGGCUCAACCGUGGAGGGUCAUUGGAAACUGGAAAACUUGAGUGCAGAAGAGGAAAGUGGAAUUCCAUGUGUAGCGGUGAAAUGCGCAGAGAUAUGGAGGAACACCAGUGGCGAAGGCGACUUUCUGGUCUGUAACUGACGCUGAUGUGCGAAAGCGUGGGGAUCAAACAGGAUUAGAUACCCUGGUAGUCCACGCCGUAAACGAUGAGUGCUAAGUGUUAGGGGGGUUCCGCCCCUUAGUGCUGCAGCUAACGCAUUAAGCACUCCGCCUGGGGAGUACGACCGCAAGGUUGAAACUCAAAGGAAUUGACGGGGACCCGCACAAGCGGUGGAGCAUGUGGUUUAAUUCGAAGCAACGCGAAGAACCUUACCAAAUCUUGACAUCCUUUGACAACUCUAGAGAUAGAGCCUUCCCCUUCGGGGGACAAAGUGACAGGUGGUGCAUGGUUGUCGUCAGCUCGUGUCGUGAGAUGUUGGGUUAAGUCCCGCAACGAGCGCAACCCUUAAGCUUAGUUGCCAUCAUUAAGUUGGGCACUCUAAGUUGACUGCCGGUGACAAACCGGAGGAAGGUGGGGAUGACGUCAAAUCAUCAUGCCCCUUAUGAUUUGGGCUACACACGUGCUACAAUGGACAAUACAAAGGGCAGCGAAACCGCGAGGUCAAGCAAAUCCCAUAAAGUUGUUCUCAGUUCGGAUUGUAGUCUGCAACUCGACUACAUGAAGCUGGAAUCGCUAGUAAUCGUAGAUCAGCAUGCUACGGUGAAUACGUUCCCGGGUCUUGUACACACCGCCCGUCACACCACGAGAGUUUGUAACACCCGAAGCCGGUGGAGUAACCUUUUAGGAGCUAGCCGUCGAAGGUGGGACAAAUGAUUGGGGUGAAGUCGUAACAAGGUAGCCGUAUCGGAAGG
rnacentral:rRNA from 1 species